AACGAACGCUGGCGGCGUGCCUAACACAUGCAAGUCGUGCGAGAAAGUUCCUUCGGGAGCGAGUAAAGCGGCGCACGGGUGAGUAACACGUAGGUAACCUGCCCCCCAGUCUGGAACAACUAGAGGAAACUACUAGCUAAUGCCGGAUGAGACCACGAUCCCUUCGGGGUUGGCGGCCAAAGAAUGGCCUCUACUUGUAAGCUAUCGCUGAGGGAUGGGCCGUGCGGGCCAUUAGCUUGUUGGUGAGGUAACGGCUCACCAAGGCUGUGAUGGCUAGCUGGUCUGAGAGGAUGACCAGCCACACUGGGACUGAGACACGGCCCAGACUCCUACGGGAGGCAGCAGU
rnacentral:rRNA from 1 species